rnacentral:lncRNA from 1 species
CAUGGCCCUUGUCCUGGUGCAUCGUUGCGCCCAAGGACUGCGGGCACGCUCUGGGUGGGGGCGGCUUGGGGCUUGCAGAGCCGGCGUGGAGUCACCGGUAUGAACCUUCAUGCGAACUCUUCACCUGGGCAUCGAACUCUUUGAGGACAUUGAUUCAUUCACUGUGCAUUUAUAAGGAGCCCACCAUGGGAUAGUGCCUGCUGUAAAGCAUCUCUGGGUGAAUGAAAAAGAAAGAAGCUCAUGAUUUCUACACAUGACCCAGGAGCACCUUGGCUGAGGAUUCUGCGUCUUGCCAAUCUGUGAGAGUGGUUUCCCAGMGGRUGCUUGGCUUGUACAACCAGAGAACAGGAUUCUUCUCUUCUUUCUGGCCACUCAAUGCCUAUGUGCACUCCACGUUCCAAAGAGGGAAGAAGGGCGAAGCUUCUUGGAUGACAAUGGACGUUCUACUGUGCAGGAUGAGGGCAGAGUGUGUGACAUCGCCACCACAAGGGCUCCAACAGUCUGACUUCUUUUCGAGCGCCACACUCUCUUCCUGGAGCAGAGAUCAGAGAUGA